rnacentral:tRNA from 1 species
GCUCAGUCGAUAGAGCAUGGGACUCGUAAUCCCAGGGUCAUGGGUUCGAGCUCCAU